GGUCUGGUAGUGCAAUGGUAGCAUCUUCGGCUGGCUCUGGGAUUGCUCAUGGGUUCUACUCAUGGGUUUGAUUCCUGGCCAGACCA